AGCUAGGGUUUGAUUAACCUUCAUAAAUGUAUUUAUUGUAAUAAUAUGACCUAUAUGUGAUAUUGAUUGUUUCUUCAAAGAGAUGUCUUCCAUGCAAAUAAAAUGAAUACUCUACUGUAGAUGUGAAAUUUAUGAUGACACCAACUUUUAUUAUCUAUUAUUAAUGUAAGAACAAUUUAUUGUUACAGAAAAUGAACAGUCUGAAAAUAGGAAUCAGAUAUCUGAAAACUGCACAAGUGCACCAUCAGAAAACGCCACAAGUGCACCAUCAGUUCCUCACAGUAAUGACAUACUCAAGAUUGUAAUACCAGUGAGUGCGGCAACCUCCGGUUUAAUUCUGCUUGUUGUUGUAAUAACAAUAAUUUUCAAGUGCAGGAAAAAGUGCAGAAAUUCAGAUGAUGCUAUUUACAACAACGUCGAUUACAUAAAAAACCAAAAUGCAAAGAAACCAAAGAAGCAGAAGAAGUAGUUAAAGCUGUCCUGAUUGGAUUUGUAUCUGAACACUGACUACAUCUCACACAUCUAUUCACGGCUCUGAAAAUAACAGUAAUCUGAAUUUGCAUGGUUUAUAUGUGAGUGGUUUAAAUAUAUACAUACUAUAUAUAUGUAUAUAUAGUGUAGAUAAGUAACUGUGUUGAUGAAACUUUUUCGAUUGCACCCGCCACUAUCAAAACUAACGUGUUAGUGUUGUAGAGUGAUGUAACCAUGAACAGAAACUAGAUAAUGUGGUUUUUAUAGGCCUGUUGUUCGGUGUGCAGUUGCCAGGAAAUGUUGCUUGCUGCAUGUGUGGUGGGCUUCGAAGCUUCGAACCUUUUUUUAGUACUACUGAUAUCACUGUGCUGUGCUGAAUUCUGAAUGCAACUUAAAGGACCUCUAUCUUUUCUAUGGAAAAAGUAGCAACACUAUCGGAACCACAUGGAAAGGCAAAGCAACACCUAGCAUUCCCAUAGAAAUUAAGCAGCACAUUCAGGAAAUACACAUUUCUAUUUUUUUAUAUAAUUAUAUAGCAUUUUGGUUUGAAAUUCUGAUGUUUUCUGAUUUUUGUGUUAAAUUAUAAAUAGGCGACUCUUAACCCAACACUACAAUAUGACCUCAAUCAAACCAAGUUUCCCUAAUUUUGUAAAAAUAAAUGUGUGACCUAAUGUAUAAGUAUUGUUAAAAAUGAACCCCCCCGGCACCAAUUUAUAUAGUUCAUAUAAAGAUAUUAUGGAGCAAAAGCCUGUUUGUGUAGAAGAUAAUACUAUUUUUGAACCAUAUCAAAUGUUGUAAGUAGAGCCCUUUAAAGUUGCACAUAAUCAGCUACUUUUUUGUUGUUGUAUCACUAUAUUAACACUGUAAGCAUCUGUACUAUAAUUCUAUAUUCUGUUUUAAUACAAAUAAAUCUUUCUG